rnacentral:rRNA from 1 species
AUUGAACGCUGGCGGCAGGCCUAACACAUGCAAGUCGAACGGUAACAGGAAGAAGCUUGCUUCUUUGCUGACGAGUGGCGGACGGGUGAGUAAUGUCUGGGAAACUGCCUGAUGGAGGGGGAUAACUACUGGAAACGGUAGCUAAUACCGCAUAACGUCGCAAGACCAAAGAGGGGGACCUUCGGGCCUCUUGCCAUCGGAUGUGCCCAGAUGGGAUUAGCUAGUAGGUGGGGUAACGGCUCACCUAGGCGACGAUCCCUAGCUGGUCUGAGAGGAUGACCAGCCACACUGGAACUGAGACACGGUCCAGACUCCUACGGGAGGCAGCAGUGGGGAAUAUUGCACAAUGGGCGCAAGCCUGAUGCAGCCAUGCCGCGUGUAUGAAGAAGGCCUUCGGGUUGUAAAGUACUUUCAGCGGGGAGGAAGGGAGUAAAGUUAAUACCUCUGCUCAUUGACGUUACCCGCAGAAGAAGCACCGGCUAACUCCGUG